AUUGAACGCUGGCGGCAUGCCUUACACAUGCAAGUCGAACGGUAACGGGCCUUCGGGUGCCGACGAGUGGCGAACGGGUGAGUAAUGCAUCGGAACGUACCUUUCAGUGGGGGAUAACGUAGCGAAAGUUACGCUAAUACCGCAUAUUCUGUGAGCAGGAAAGCAGGGGAUCGCAAGACCUUGCGCUGAUUGAGCGGCCGAUGUCAGAUUAGCUAGUUGGUGAGGUAAAGGCUCACCAAGGCGACGAUCUGUAGCGGGUCUGAGAGGAUGAUCCGCCACACUGGAACUGAGACACGGUCCAGACGCCUACGGGAGGCAGCAGUGGGGAAUUUUGGACAAUGGGGGCAACCCUGAUCCAGCCAUGCCGCGUGAGUGAAGAAGGCCUUCGGGUUGUAAAGCUCUUUCGGUCGGGAAGAAAUCGCAUGGGUUAAUACCCUGUGCGGAUGACGGUACCGGCAUAAGAAGCACCGGCUAACUACGUGCCAGCAGCCGCCGCGG
rnacentral:rRNA from 1 species